rnacentral:rRNA from 1 species
CCUACGGGAGGCUGCAGUGAGGAAUAUUGGUCAAUGGGCGCGAGCCUGAACCAGCCAAGUAGCGUGAAGGAUGACUGCCCUACGGGUUGUAAACUUCUUUUGUCGGGGAACAAAGGCGGAGACGCGUCUCCGGAUGAGUGUACCCGAAGAAAAAGCAUCGGCUAAAUCCGUGCCAGCAGCCGCGGUAAUACGGGGGAUGCGAGCGUUAUCCGGAUUUAUUGGGUGUAAAGGGUGCGCAGGCGGGAGAUCAAGGCAGCGGUAAAAUGUCGGGGCUCAACCCCGGCCGGCCGUUGAAACUGGUUUUCUAGAGUUGUAGAGAAGUAUGCGGAAUGCGUGGUGUAGCGGUGAAAUGCAUAGAUAUCACGAAGAACUCCGAUUGCGAAGGCAGCAUACCGGCUCCAUACUGACGCUGAGGCACGAAAGCGUGGGGAUCGAACAGGAUUAGAUACCCCUGUAGUC